rnacentral:rRNA from 1 species
GGAAUUUUGCGCAAUGGGGGAAACCCUGACGCAGCAACGCCGCGUGAAGGAAGAAGGCUUUCGAGUUGUAAACUUCUGUUCUGGGGGAAGAUAGUGACGGUACCCCAGGAGCAAGCCCCGGCUAACUCCGUGCAAGCAGCCGCGGUAAGACGGGGGGGGCGAGCGUUGUUCGGAAUUACUGGGCGUAAAGGGCGCGUAGGCGGACCGAGAGGUUUUGGGUGAAAGCCCCGGGCUCAACCCGGGAAGGUCCUGAAAAACCAUUGGUCUGGAGUGCUGGAGAGGCAAGCGGAAUUUCUGGUGUAGCGGUGAAAUGCGUAGAUAUCAGAAGGAAGACCGGAGGCGAAGGCGGCUUGCUGGACAGCAACUGACGCUGAGGCGCGAAAGCCAGGGGAGCAAAC